rnacentral:lncRNA from 1 species
GAAAGGAGGAGAGCUGCUUGCUGAGUGGAGUGUGUGGUGUUACCGAUUUGGGGUUUCUUUUUGCUUAAGGAGAAACAGCAGUGGGUCUAGGUGUGCAGCUCGCGGCAGAGCAGCAGAUGAGGUGCUGGCAGGUGGUUAACACAGGUGCCGGAGCUAUGCACGUGGAGACGGCUGGGAAGCUCGGGGAACUUCCGCUUUGGGGAGGCAGAGCCAGGGAUGGUCUCACCUGUUGCAGCAAGCACAUAUCACUGUCAUAAGUUAAAAAGAAGAAAUCAAGGAAGCAGAGAAGCAGAUGAAUAGUCAUUUUACUUUAAAAAAUCAAUUUCCAGAUAAUUCCACCCAUGAUCAUUUGUUUUUGUUCAAUUAUGUAGAACAAAGCUAGGAUAUAAUUAACGGGUGGGUUAUUUUUACCUACACUUGAAAUUCUGCAGGUCCAAUACCUUCUCAA